UAUUAGAGUGAAAUAUAUUCAAACACCAGUACAUAAGUCUUUAUCAUGUAAAUUAGUUGUAUGUUGAUAGCAAAUUUUAAUAUCAAAUUCUGGCUUUUAAAAUAUUGGCAGUUUACAAAUAACUAUUCCUAAAUGCCUGAUAAUAACUGCAAAAGGAAAUAAGAUGAGGUCACCAGUUGAUUAACAAACAGGCUGAAACCACAGACAAAGCUUUCUAUGUCCCAAAAUAUACGUUAAAUAUCUUACUUUCUCUUCUUUUGCUCAAUUGAAAAUUUGGAAACUAGCUAGAACUUUUUAGGAGACAGUAAGUAAAAUAGUAGAAUGACUGUUCCAUUCCUUUUAAGAACAGUUGCCAUACAGUCUUUUCCUGUCUAAUAUAAGGCAUAUCAUUAAUAUGUUAUGUUUUAGAUAAAUCAGUAUCAUUGGCAAUGUAAAAAACACUUGCUUUAAAAAAAAAACACUUUAAUAUUCAAUAACGUUUUAAUUUUUCAAGUGGAGGAUUCUAAAAACUAAAUACACCUAGUAACCCACAUGAAAUAAUUGC
rnacentral:lncRNA from 1 species